CCACCCACCUCUCCUCCCCAAGAUAGCUCCCAUACCUAGCCCUGGGCACGCGUCGCAGGGCAGGAAGUCUGUGUUCCUGCCGGGUGUCUCGUGAUGUGGUGUAGAGGCGUCCUGGUAAGGGAUACGUCCUUCGCUGCCAUGUUAGGCGUGUUAGUGGAGUUGCCAUGAAGAGCGGCUGAGAGACCGAUGGAAAGUUCAGCAACCAGUACUACUCAAGCCCCGUGCAGCGGUGACCAGCAGUAAGACGAGAAGCUAAGGGACUGAUCCUCGUGAGUCGUCGCUCCUCGCCUCCCCAACACAGAUCGCUCAACGACCGUAAAAACAGGUAGUACUCGACAGUACUUCAUAUUGAGGAAAACGCGUCCACUGCUUGAGUUUGCCGACUACUCCCCCACUGCUUAUUUUUCUUCCAGUCUUAAUAUGUCUCUUCUCUGUGACUGAUGUGGUUUGAAAGCCAGCCGCUGAUAUGUUCUGGAUUUUUGUGUUACUGUUGUCCUUACGAUUUUAACUCUCCAGUGAGUGUGUCUGUGUUUAAACUCUUGGUGAGAAAGAAAACAAUUAUGCCACGCCACAAGAAUACUAAACAUGCGGCGUGAAAGGAGGUUAAAGAAAAAAAAAGUGGAAAAAAUAUAAUUAUGUGAAAUCACUCAUUAGGUUUUCCUGGGUUUUCUCUUUUGUUUUCUUUGUAAACUUAUUCCUUUGUUACAACUUUUGUUUUAGUCUGUGCUGAAAAUGGUCAGCAUAAUAAAGAAUACCAUAACCAAAACACAGUCAGGUGGUGCAGAGGGGCAGUAUUCCGCAGGCGUGAAUCACAACAGAGUAAUGGAGUUACAAUUCCUGGCAGGGCUGAGACAGUUUGGCUUUGUCACCCUUCUCGCUGUAGUUUCCAUUCACCUGACAGGUAAUAGAUACGAACUAAGUCUAGGACCCACAGUAAUAGUAGUAGUAGCGGAGGUGGUGGCGCCGCUGCCGUUGCAAUCGGGUUAAGGUCUCUUUUGAUUUACCUCUCUUAAAGGUACUAAAAUAGUAAAACACGCAGUUUACCAGUAUGUACGUUAAAGUGUAUAUCAACGUAUUCUUUCUAGUUACAUCACUGACGACUGUGAUCUUGAGUUUUUGUGGGUCACGUAAAGGCUGCUGGAGGUAAAGUAAGCCAGCUGGCCGCGCCUUUUGCUGUGGGCGGUCUGAGCCCUCAAUGAACCUUUAAUACAGCCUCGAUCAACCUCCCAUGGCUCCACCACCACCACCACCACCACCACCACCACCACCACUAAGACUUAAAACAAAUACAACAGCAGUAUCAAAGAAAACAACUGGGUCUAAAAUAUACAAAAACUCCCGAAUGUUGUCCCUGUAGUUACCAGUGACUUGAAAGUACGUAGUAGUGAAUAAAGUUAGGGAACGUCUGGCUCAUGUUUGUCGUAUGUAGCUACUUGUGUCUAGACAUUUAUAGGUAAACUUUGGAAUAGUGUUUCCUCCGUGCCCGAGCUGUCCAGUCCCCGCGUACCGGCACCGGGGACACUAAGUAAUGGCAGCACGAGCACGACCUAGGGUGCGUCUAGGGUACGUCAAGUCUGGCGGCGCGGUGUGGUGUAUUGUCACAGGACGCGUCAAGUAAGACACGGUUCAUUACAAAGGAACACGAGAAUUUUUAUCACUUUACCACUGCGUCCUUGUAGAACAGUAUCUUUAAAAGCUUCCUCGCCUUUUCUCGAGUUUUAAUGGGCUGUGGUGGAAAUUACUGGAGUUUUCAAGGGUGUUUUCAUGAAUUUAGUGAGUCGAAUUAGAGUUCUACAUCAGUGAGAAAAGAUGCCUAUGAGAAUGAGGGAAUUACAUUGUCAGAGAAAACAAUAUUGUAAGCACUCGAAUAAGGCCGAUCCUCAUUCUGUUAGCCUCUUUAUUCAUUGUAUA